rnacentral:rRNA from 1 species
UACGUAGGGGGCUAGCGUUGUCCGGAAUCAUUGGGCGUAAAGCGCGCGCAGGCGGCCUUUUAAGUCUCGUGGUGAAAUGCCGGGGCUCAACCCCGUGCCCGCCGGAGAUACUGGGAGGCUGGAGACAUGUAGAGGCAAGCGGAAUUCCGGGUGUAGCGGUGGAAUGCGUAGAGAUCCGGAAGAACACCGGAGGCGAAGGCGGCUUGCUGGGCAUUGUCUGACGCUGAGGCGCGAAAGCGUGGGGAGCGAACAGG